UGGGGAAUUUUUGGACAAUGGGCGCAAGCCUGAUCCAGCCAUGCCGCGUGAGUGAAGAAGGCCUUCGGGUUGUAAAGCUCUUUCGGCGGGGACGGAAACGGUCCGUGCCAACACCACGGACUAAUGACGGUACUCGCAGAAGAAGCACCGGCUAACUACGUGCCAGCAGCCGCGGUAAUACGUAGGGUGCGGGCGUUAAUCGGAAUUACUGGGCGUAAAGCGUGCGCAGGCGGCUCUUUAAGUCAGAUGUGAAAUCCCCGGGCUUAACCUGGGAACUGCGUUUGAAACUGAGGGGCUUGAGUGUGGAAGAGGGGGGUGGGAAUUCCAGGUGUAGCAGUGAAAUGCGUAGAGAUCUGGAGGAACACCGAUGGCGAAGGCAGCCCCCUGGGCUAACACUGACGCUCAUGCACGAAAGCGUGGGGAGCAAACAGGAUUAGAUACCCUGGUAGUCCACGCCCUAAACGAUGUCAACUGGUUGUCGGGGAAGCAAUUCCUUGGUAACGAAGCUAACG
rnacentral:rRNA from 1 species